GCCGGCGUAGCUCAGUCGGUAGAGCAAUUCUUUCGUAAAGAAUGGGUCGGAGGUUCGAUUCCUCUCGCCGGCU
rnacentral:tRNA from 1 species